UACGUAGGGUCCGAGCGUUGUCCGGAAUUAUUGGGCGUAAAGAGCUCGUAGGCGGUUUGUCGCGUCUGCUGUGAAAUCCCGAGGCUCAACCUCGGGCCUGCAGUGGGUACGGGCAGACUGGAGUGCGGUAGGGGAGAAUGGAAUUCCUGGUGUAGCGGUGGAAUGCGCAGAUAUCAGGAGGAACACCGGUGGCGAAGGCGGAUCUCUGGGCCGAUACUGACGCUGAGGAGCGAAAGCGUGGGGAGCGAACAGG
rnacentral:rRNA from 1 species